rnacentral:rRNA from 1 species
UGGGGAAUAUUGCACAAUGGAGGGAACUCUGAUGCAGCGACGCCGCGUGAACGAAGAAGUCUUUCGAGUCGUAAAGUUCUUUUAUAUGGGAAGAUAAUUACGGUACCAUAAGAAGAAGCCCCGGCUAACUACGUGCCAGCAGCCGCGGUAAUACGUAGGGGGCUAGCGUUGUCCGGAAUCACUGGGCGUAAAGGGUUCGCAGGCGGAAAUGCAAUUCAGGUGUAAAAGGCAGUAGCUAAACUACUGUAAGCAUUUGAAACUGCAUAUAUUGAGAAGAGUAGAGGUAAGUGGAAUUUUUAGUGUAGCGGUGAAAUGCGUAGAUAUUAAAAAGAAUACCGGUGGCGAAGGCGACUUACUGGGCUCAUUCUGACGCUGAGGAACGAAAGCGUGGGUAGCAAACAGG